rnacentral:rRNA from 1 species
UACGGGGGGAGCAAGCGUUGUUCGGAUUUACUGGGCGUAAAGGGCGCGUAGGCGGCGUGACAAGUCACUUGUGAAAUCUCCGGGCUUAACUCGGAACGGUCAAGUGAUACUGUCGUGCUAGAGUACAGAAGGGGCAACUGGAAUUCUCGGUGUAGCGGUGAAAUGCGUAGAUAUCGAGAGGAACACCUGCGGCGAAGGCGGCGCCCUGGCUCGCAACUGACGCUCAGACACGACAGCAUGGGGAGCGAACGGG